UUAAGCGACUAAGCGUACACGGUGGAUGCCCUGGCAGUCAGAGGCGAUGAAGGACGUGCUAAUCUGCGAUAAGCGUCGGUAAGGUGAUAUGAACCGUUAUAACCGGCGAUUUCCGAAUGGGGAAACCCAGUGUGUUUCGACACACUAUCAUUAACUGAAUCCAUAGGUUAAUGAGGCGAACCGGGGGAACUGAAACAUCUAAGUACCCCGAGGAAAAGAAAUCAACCGAGAUUCCCCCAGUAGCGGCGAGCGAACGGGGAGGAGCCCAGAGUCUGAAUCAGUGUGUGUGUUAGUGGAAGCGUCUGGAAAGGCGCGCGAUACAGGGUGACAGCCCCGUACACAAAAAUGCACAUACUGUGAGCUCGAUGAGUAGGGCGGGACACGUGGUAUCCUGUCUGAAUAUGGGGGGACCAUCCUCCAAGGCUAAAUACUCCUGACUGACCGAUAGUGAACCAGUACCGUGAGGGAAAGGCGAAAAGAACCCCGGCGAGGGGAGUGAAAAAGAACCUGAAACCGUGUACGUACAAGCAGUGGGAGCCUCUUUUAUGGGGUGACUGCGUACCUUUUGUAUAAUGGGUCAGCGACUUAUAUUCUGUAGCAAGGUUAACCGAAUAGGGGAGCCGAAGGGAAACCGAGUCUUAACUGGGCGUUAAGUUGCAGGGUAUAGACCCGAAACCCGGUGAUCUAGCCAUGGGCAGGUUGAAGGUUGGGUAACACUAACUGGAGGACCGAACCGACUAAUGUUGAAAAAUUAGCGGAUGACUUGUGGCUGGGGGUGAAAGGCCAAUCAAACCGGGAGAUAGCUGGUUCUCCCCGAAAGCUAUUUAGGUAGCGCCUCGUGAAUUCAUCUCCGGGGGUAGAGCACUGUUUCGGCAAGGGGGUCAUCCCGACUUACCAACCCGAUGCAAACUGCGAAUACCGGAGAAUGUUAUCACGGGAGACACACGGCGGGUGCUAACGUCCGUCGUGAAGAGGGAAACAACCCAGACCGCCAGCUAAGGUCCCAAAGUCAUGGUUAAGUGGGAAACGAUGUGGGAAGGCCCAGACAGCCAGGAUGUUGGCUUAGAAGCAGCCAUCAUUUAAAGAAAGCGUAAUAGCUCACUGGUCGAGUCGGCCUGCGCGGAAGAUGUAACGGGGCUAAACCAUGCACCGAAGCUGCGGCAGCGACGCUUAUGCGUUGUUGGGUAGGGGAGCGUUCUGUAAGCCUGUGAAGGUGUGCUGUGAGGCAUGCUGGAGGUAUCAGAAGUGCGAAUGCUGACAUAAGUAACGAUAAAGCGGGUGAAAAGCCCGCUCGCCGGAAGACCAAGGGUUCCUGUCCAACGUUAAUCGGGGCAGGGUGAGUCGACCCCUAAGGCGAGGCCGAAAGGCGUAGUCGAUGGGAAACAGGUUAAUAUUCCUGUACUUGGUGUUACUGCGAAGGGGGGACGGAGAAGGCUAUGUUGGCCGGGCGACGGUUGUCCCGGUUUAAGCGUGUAGGCUGGUUUUCCAGGCAAAUCCGGAAAAUCAAGGCUGAGGCGUGAUGACGAGGCACUACGGUGCUGAAGCAACAAAUGCCCUGCUUCCAGGAAAAGCCUCUAAGCAUCAGGUAACAUCAAAUCGUACCCCAAACCGACACAGGUGGUCAGGUAGAGAAUACCAAGGCGCUUGAGAGAACUCGGGUGAAGGAACUAGGCAAAAUGGUGCCGUAACUUCGGGAGAAGGCACGCUGAUAUGUAGGUGAAGUCCCUUGCGGAUGGAGCUGAAAUCAGUCGAAGAUACCAGCUGGCUGCAACUGUUUAUUAAAAACACAGCACUGUGCAAACACGAAAGUGGACGUAUACGGUGUGACGCCUGCCCGGUGCCGGAAGGUUAAUUGAUGGGGUCAGCGCAAGCGAAGCUCUUGAUCGAAGCCCCGGUAAACGGCGGCCGUAACUAUAACGGUCCUAAGGUAGCGAAAUUCCUUGUCGGGUAAGUUCCGACCUGCACGAAUGGCGUAAUGAUGGCCAGGCUGUCUCCACCCGAGACUCAGUGAAAUUGAACUCGCUGUGAAGAUGCAGUGUACCCGCGGCAAGACGGAAAGACCCCGUGAACCUUUACUAUAGCUUGACACUGAACAUUGAGCCUUGAUGUGUAGGAUAGGUGGGAGGCUUUGAAGUGUGGACGCCAGUCUGCAUGGAGCCGACCUUGAAAUACCACCCUUUAAUGUUUGAUGUUCUAACGUUGGCCCCUAAUCGGGGUUGCGGACAGUGUCUGGUGGGUAGUUUGACUGGGGCGGUCUCCUCCUAAAGAGUAACGGAGGAGCACGAAGGUUGGCUAAUCCUGGUCGGACAUCAGGAGGUUAGUGCAAUGGCAUAAGCCAGCUUGACUGCGAGCGUGACGGCGCGAGCAGGUGCGAAAGCAGGUCAUAGUGAUCCGGUGGUUCUGAAUGGAAGGGCCAUCGCUCAACGGAUAAAAGGUACUCCGGGGAUAACAGGCUGAUACCGCCCAAGAGUUCAUAUCGACGGCGGUGUUUGGCACCUCGAUGUCGGCUCAUCACAUCCUGGGGCUGAAGUAGGUCCCAAGGGUAUGGCUGUUCGCCAUUUAAAGUGGUACGCGAGCUGGGUUUAGAACGUCGUGAGACAGUUCGGUCCCUAUCUGCCGUGGGCGCUGGAGAACUGAGGGGGGCUGCUCCUAGUACGAGAGGACCGGAGUGGACGCAUCACUGGUGUUCGGGUUGUCAUGCCAAUGGCACUGCCCGGUAGCUAAAUGCGGAAGAGAUAAGUGCUGAAAGCAUCUAAGCACGAAACUUGCCCCGAGAUGAGUUCUCCCUGACUCCUUGAGAGUCCUGAAGGAACGUUGAAGACGACGACGUUGAUAGGCCGGGUGUGUAAGCGCAGCGAUGCGUUGAGCUAACCGGUACUAAUGAACCGUGAGGCUUAACCUU
rnacentral:rRNA from 1 species